UGAACCUGCGGAAGGAUCAUUGUCGAAACUUGCAAAAGACCCGUGAACUAGUUAUCAACAUGUGGGGAGUAUUGGGAGAUAUCCCACAGCUCCUUCGUGCCAGUGGUGGGUAAUUGUGUCGUUAUACCGGCAUGAUUGACCAACAUCUGGACAAACUAACCAACCCCGGCGCGGCAUGCGCCAAGGAACUUCGCAAUAAAUGUGGAAACGCUACCGGUCGUUCCGAAAAUCGGAUAAAGCGGCCGUGUUGUGGACCACUUUUUCAUUACAAAACGACUCUCGGCAACGGAUAUCUAGGCUCUUGCAUCGAUGAAGAACGUAGCGAAAUGCGAUACUUGGUGUGAAUUGCAGAAUCCCGUGAACCAUCGAGUCUUUGAACGCAAGUUGCGCCCGAAGCCUCUUGGCCAAGGGCACGUCUGCCUGGGUGUCACACAUCGUCCCCACCGAAACAAAUACUCCUUGUAGGUGUUUGGUAAGAGGAUGGGCGGAUAAUGGUCUCCCGUGCGCGAUUGCUCGCGGUUGGCCUAAAAAUAAGUUCCUGGUGAUAGCAAGCCAUGACCAGCGGUGGUUGAAAGACCCUCGAUGGGUGUCGUGAGAACUUGCAUCGCCUGUUGGGAGAUUCUGACCUUGAUCGUGUUUAAGCAUAUCAAACACUCAUGAAGUGACCCCAGGUCAGGCGGGACU
rnacentral:rRNA from 1 species